rnacentral:rRNA from 1 species
CGGCAACAGCUCAAAUUUGAAAUCUGGCCCUAGGCCCGAAUUGUAAUUUGAAGAGGAUGCUUUUGGCAAGGUACCUUCUGAGUUCUCUGGAAUGAGACGCCAUAGAGGGUGAGAGCCCCGUAUAGUCGGUUGCCGAGCCUCUGUAAAGCUCCUUCGAC